rnacentral:rRNA from 1 species
UACGUAGGGUGCGAGCGUUGUCCGGAAUUAUUGGGCGUAAAGAGCUUGUAGGCGGUUUGUCGCGGUCUGCUGUGAAAUUUCGGGGCUCAACCCCGAACUUGCAGUGGGUACGGGCAGACUAGAGUGUGGUAGGGGAGACUGGAAUUCCUGGUGUAGCGGUGAAAUGCGCAGAUAUCGAGGAGGAACACCGAUGGCGAAGGCAGGUCUCUGGGCCACUACUGACGCUGAGAAGCGAAAGCAUGGGGAGCGAACAGG